rnacentral:snRNA from 1 species
GUGCUCACUUCUACAGCACAUAUAUUAAAAUUGGAAUGAUACAGAGAACACUAGCCCAGCCCCUGUGUAGGGAUGACACAUAAAUUCGCGAAGCACUGGGCACCUGC